AUAUGGAGUAUGUGUCUGUAAACCUGAAUAUAAAGGAUUUGGAACUGAAUGUUUAAAAGAAAAUUUGAAACUGGGAUACCAAUGCAAGCGAAAUGAGCAGCGUUCCGUGACAUCUGGUUCCGUUUGUAAGAAUGAUACUUGUGUCUGUGGGCCAGGAUAUGGCCAACUGAGUGAUUCGGAGUGUUUUCCAUAUCUCUCAGAAGACUUGUGUACAACAACGAAGGAAUGUACUGAUGUAUCUAAGACCUGUUUCCGAUCUGGGGCACAAGAAUAUGGUAUUUGUAUAUGUAAACCUGAAUAUAUAGGAUUUGGAACCGAUUGUUUAAAAGGAAAUUUGAAACUGGGAUACCAAUGCAAGCGAAAUGAGCAGUGUUUUGUGACAUCUGGUUCCGUUUGUAAGAACGGUACUUGUGUCUGUGGGCCAGGAUAUGUCCAACUGAGUGAUUCGGAGUGUUUUCCACUACAUCUCACAAAAGAUUUGUGCAUAUCGACCAAGG